ACAAAAAUGCUGCCAGAAGGAUUGAGAGUUAUAUGUCAAGUGAAGGCUAAAGAACGUAACAAGUUGGUGCUUUUCGGAUUUGUGGAUCUUGAUCGUUUAAGUUCAUUUUUAUGGAUAACAAGCUUAGUAUAGUUACUAAGUUGUUGAUUCCAUUAGGUUCACACCAAAUGGUCGUUGGAUCGUAUCUGACGCACACGUCAAUCAUGUGUUCACAAUAGUAGUAAACUAAUUCACAUCAGUAACUUUCAAGAAAAGAAGGUUAAACACGGAGCACAAUAAGUGGUGAUGAAUAGGAGCAUGAUCUUUUUGUGCCAAUCAACAUAAGGGUAGGAGCAUGAUCUUUUAGAGCCAAUGAACAUAGGGGAUGAAGUGUUUAAUUUACUAAAUCAAUUCAAUUAAAAGUAUGU